AGGAGCGUAGCUCAAUUGGUAGAGCACCGGUCUCCAAAACCGGGGGUUGGGGGUUCGAAGCCUCUCGCUCCUGCCA
rnacentral:tRNA from 1 species